rnacentral:tRNA from 1 species
GCCCUCAUGGUCCAGCCUGGACAAGACGCGAGCUUGCGGAGCUCGAAACCGGGGUUCAAAUCCUCGUGAGGGCG